rnacentral:ncRNA from 2 species
AUAUUACAUCUGGGGUGCCAUUCGGCUGAGAUAUACCCAUAGAACCUGCUCUGGUUAGUACCAGCGAAGGGAGAUAAUUAGUCAAUCAA